GUAGGUGGCAAGCGUUGUCCGGAAUUAUUGGGCGUAAAGCGCGCGCAGGCGGUUUUUAAGUCUGAUGUGAAAGCCCACGGCUCAACCGUGGAGGGUCAUUGGAAACUGGAGAACUUGAGUACAGAAGAGGAAAGCGGAAUUCCACGUGUAGCGGUGAAAUGCGUAGAGAUGUGGAGGAACACCAGUGGCGAAGGCGGCUUUCUGGUCUGUAACUGACGCUGAGGCGCGAAAGCGUGGGGAGCAAACAGGGAUUAGAUACCCUGGUAGUCCACGCCGUAAACGAUGAGUGCUAAGUGUUAGGGGGGUUUUCCGGCCCCCUUAGUGCUGCAGCUAACGCAUUAAGCACUCCGCCUGGGGAGUACGGCCGCAAGGCUG
rnacentral:rRNA from 1 species